UACGGAGGGUGCAAGCGUUAUCCGGAUUCACUGGGUUUAAAGGGUGCGUAGGUUGAUUGGUAAGUCAGUGGUGAAAUACUCCGACUCAAUCGGAGAACUGCCGUUGAUACUAUCAAUCUUGAAUAUGGUGGAGGCGGGCGGAAUGCGUCAUGUAGUGGUGAAAUACUUAGAUAUGACGCAGAACACCCAUUGCGAAGGCAGCUCGCUACGCCAUUAUUGACACUGAGGCACGAAAAGCGUGGGGGAUCAAACAGG
rnacentral:rRNA from 1 species